UCGCUGCAGGCCUCCGGGCGGCGUGACAGAAGUCGUGCCAGCGUACACUUGGCUAACCCGUGUAAACACGCCUGUUGCAAUAUGCACAGGAGGCUGCCUCUCGGGCCUGCUGGACGUGCUUCCUGUCAGGAAGACUGUGGUCCUGAGGCCCAUUAGGACGAGGUCAGCCGGCCGUCAACUGGCUCGCCCGGCAGGUCCCCUGGCUGCAGGAAGCGGCCGGGGCUGGGCCUGGCUGUCUACAGGAUCGGGUUGGAAAUCACCUCAGCUGCAACUGAUGGCUGAUUUCAUCAGCGGAAACUGUGGAACGCGUCAGGACUCCGCAACGAUGCUACUCGCCUGCGGUUGAAAAGCUCGGAACAGUCACAGCCCUGAGGGAGCUGAGUGAGGCGUCCCCGCAGGAAUGCAGGGGACAUCCCACCCGCAGUGCCGGCCCCUCCCCCAGGGGGCCCCCUGCUGGCUUCCCGGGCACCCACCUUCAGGGAAACUGAUACAUUAAAAUCCAAACGGAAAUAAAA